UCCCUGGUGGCUCAGAUGGUAAAGCGUCUGCCUGCGAUGUGGGAGACCCGGGUUCGAUUCCUGGGUCGGGAA
rfam:Ovis aries breed Texel chromosome 3, whole genome shotgun sequence.